AGAGGCCGGUGCCAAGCCGCGGCUGGGCGCAUCCUGCCUCCCUGCUGGGCGGGCGCUGCCAGCUGCGUGAGGCACGUGGGCGGGGAAUCUGCUCUCCCAGCAGGCGCAGGCACCCACCUGACAACAGCCUCCUCGCCUAGAUGCAGGGAACCAACAGAUGAAAAUGACUAUAAAUAUUUACAGUAUCCAGAGGGGAGGCUGUUGUUUGGGAGCUGGUCAUGGCGAACAGACUGACAGACACAAACACCCAUGUAGGGUCUAAAAGAAUUAGGCUUUCCAAGAUUUCCAGGAGGAUGGUAAGCCGCAGGUUACAUUAAGUGAACAUGCUGUGAGAUAAGAAUUGCUUCUCAGAAUGAGGUGUCUGCCUGAACCACUAUGAAGGGUCUGCUUUUACUUCUUGUCGGAGCUCCUGAAAUCCUGUCUGCAGCCCUGGUUGGGAGUAGGAGCCGGUGAGUUUCUGCCUUGAGACUCCAUGCUGGAAGAAAUUGGUGUGACACCGCCUUGCUGAGCUUCUGUACUGGGAGGAGGAGAAGCCAGAGAGCUGUCACCAUGCUGAACUGGUGUGGGAGGAGCCAUAGAUAUCAAAUUGCUUUAUGAAAGAAGUCUGUAGCAUGGGCUAAGAGGAGAAGAAACUUCACCUAGAAGGAUGGUGUUUCUCCAUGACAUAAUCCCCACCUCAAAGACACGGGUCUUUAACAGAUUCUGUGCCUGUGAUCUCCUGAUAAUGCUCUAUUACUAUAAUGGAACAUCUGGGACCCAGGUCGCUCCAUCCAAAAUCAGAGUAACUCCAAUUAAGUUAUGGCCAAUCUCUUUAACGUGGGCAGAAAGACACUCUACUCCCUUUGUUUAUUUAUUUAUUAUUAAAAAAGAAAGAGUUAGACCUUCUUUCAUAACUUUAAGGUCAUAUUUUCCCCUCAGCUCUUUGAAGUUAAUCAAAGUCCCCCCUGCACAGCCAAACAUAGGAUUUAUUCCUUGAAUUGAAAAGCAUUUCAUACUGGUCCAUGCUCUGUCCUCACCCACAGACAUAAAAAUCUACUGAAGUGAGGGGAGUUGCAAAAUUGCACCUGAGGGUGCACUGUGAUUCAUUGUGUCUAAUGGAAAACCUCUCACACACAACAGGAUAACGGUUAUUUAUUAAUAAAUUCCUUAACUAUCCUAAUUACUGUCUGAUAAUAAAAUUAUCAUUACUGAGGUUUACUUUUCUUUA